AUCGCUUCUCGGCCUUUUGGCUAAGAUCAAGUGUAGUAUCUAAGUACAUGGAGCCAUUGGACAUGACUUGUGAGAUGAGCAGGAGAUUGAAUUUUCUGUUAGUGCAAUCUGUUGGUGGCUGUUGUAACUUAGAUUUAACUGGUCCUGGUUUAGAUCAGAUAAA
ensembl:snRNA LOC120102112 U2 spliceosomal RNA